CUUUUGGGACUGGAAUAGCGUCAGUUGCUGAAAUAGCGUCAGUUGCUGGAAUAGCGUCAGUUGCUGGAAUAGCGUCAGUUGCUGGUACAGCAUCAGUUGCCGGUGGAUCCACACUCAAAACUGCAUUGAAAGUAGCGACACAGAAAAACAGACAAAUGAGAAACUUCAUUUUUGUUUCGGAUUUUGGUAAGCGACUCUUUUUUAUUU